GAGGAGACGGCUCGGGCACUGAGCAUGUCCGAACGCGCUCGGCAGCGGCCGCCGCGCCGGGGCUGCGCUCGCGCGCCGCGCUCGCCGGGCGGGAAGGAAAGCGCGCGGCCGGGGGCCGUGUGAGGGGGGCGCGUGCCGCCGCCCGCAAGUCAACAGAAACAGCUUGUGCAGAGCAGUGAAUUUAUAAAUGUGAAUCAAGCUCUCCUUUGCAUCAUGUUUGGCACUAAGAGGUCAGUUCUCAUCUUUGUAAUGCUUUUAAUCUCCAAAACAAUGCUAUAGCUGAUGUGACUCUAUUCUCAAAAUUUGUCUGUUCUAUGUGAACCACUGUACAAAAUACAUGAGCUGGAUAUAUUAUUCUUUCUAUUACUUUGAUUGCUUUUGUACAGAUCUGGUAUACUUUAAUUGGCAGGUAUGUGGUAUAAAAGCCACGUGGCAGACAAGCAAGCAGUAUCCCCAUGUCAUUAUGGGUACUGGCAAGACUGCCAAAGAAAACACAGUGCUUGUGCUGGAGGAUAUACCUCCGGUUCCCAGAAGCAGAACACCAGGACCAAAAAAUACAGGUUUAAGAUACAUUAUUUUCUGUCAUUUUAGGGAAUCUAUGCUGAAUACAAGAUAACCCCCAUCUGUCAUUCUGCGUGAUACAGUGUCAUACCCCAAAUGUCUCAAAAAUCUGCAUUUCUUCAUAUGCGCUCUCUGAGUGCUCCUUUUAAGCCCCAGGUGGUGCAGGUCUGCUCCUGUAUCUGUGAGCAGACAGCAUGGCCUUGCUUCCAGCUGCUGCACAAACUGUUGUGCAGUGCCAUGCUGAGCCACCUUUCCAGGUAUCAGCUUUUGUACCUGUGGGUCUUUCAGAAGGGUGUCCAAUUUCUCCACAGAACAAAGAUACUGUGGGCCAUUCUUCCUCUGUGUGAACUCCAUGAUUUUUAAUCUUGUUAGAAGGCUUUUAGGUUUUUUAUAUAAGCUUAUUUGAAUCUCUGCUAGUGAAGUACUUCAACACUUUUUCCCCUCUAACGUGACAGUCUAGUGAAGCCUAUACCCUAUGCAGUGGCAGAGUACCAUUUACCUUAUACCUUCUACAGUUAUAGAAAGGGUAAGCUAUUUCUGUAAUAUGGUUAGAAAGAGGAGAGGCUGGCUUGCCUCUAAGAAGGAACGUGUAUGAAGCAGCAUAUUCUGUGCCUGCAGGAAUCAAGGGUGGCAAAUAAUAGCAAAGAGGAACUCGGUUUUCUGAACCCUCUGCUCCCACAGCAGCAUCAGUGUGUGCUGCAACCCUACUGGAGUUAGAGUAUUGCCAGGAGCUGCUGGGACCUCUCGUCCCUUAUGCUUCUGUUAGAUGUGGGCUCUGCUGUCCCACAAGGCAGCAAACUCAGCCUACUGCUUUGUGUCUGUUUGACUUCUGAUUCUGGACUCUAUUAACUUGAAUAUGAUAUCCCAAUAAAAUAUUUUUUUAGGGUAACCUCAGGAAAAGGAAGCUUGAUCUUGUUUUGGAGUAAAUACUGUGUAUAUUGCUUUGGCAGUGUGAUGCGUUUAAGAUAACUGUUGCUGAGGGUAUAUUAAUAGAACCAUAAACUUGCCAUUUGAGGAUUUCUACUUUAAAUUGAUUGGCGCUGCAGAGUAUUAAAACUGAAGUUAACCAAAGACUUUGUGCUAAGUGAAAUAGAUUAUAUUGUAGUUAUUUUUGCCACUGUUUAACACCAACCUGUAAGAACUUCUGGGCUGGUUUAAUUUUUUUUUCCUCUCAGGAUUGUCUCUAUUCUCAGCAUUAUACAUUAUUAUGGCAUUAUAUAUUUCACCGCAAUGGCAAAAGGAAGAAUUUGGUAGCCUUGAAAUUUAAUUAUUUUUUUUCUGGUUUGAAUCCUGGUUACUGUGGAAAUGAGAAUUCCUCUCAUGGAAUAACAUAGAAAAUGUAAGAUUACAUUUGAUGUCUUCAAAUAAGAGUUUUUUAUGAGGAAAGUUGCAUAUGGGGAACAGAAGUUCUCUGGGUGUCCACUAUUCUGUGUUCUGCCAUUUUUUGCUUUACACAGAUGGAGGUGAAAGAGGCAGAGCAGACUUGCUUAGAAGUAGACUUCUAUGUGCAAACUGGGAAAGUGCUUCCAGUAUUCUUGAGACUGGUAUCGUAUUUUUAUUAGGCAGUGAUCAAAUACUUGUCAAAAAUUUUGUUCUCGGUACUGCAGUACCGUUUGACUUGAUUUUUCCUAGAUGGCUGCUAAUUGCAAGUAGGAAAAUCUUGUGUUAUUCCUGAUAUAAAGUUUGUAAGCUCCUACAGAAAGGCUUCCCAUAAUUACUGAGAGUUUCUGGAAAUCUUGGUUUGAUAUGUUAAUGCUCUUCCUAAAAGGAAAGUGUAUUUCCUUGGAAAUGUCAUUAGAAACAAAGCAAUUUUUUCUGUGGGAAAAAAUGAUUGAAGAUUUAUUUUCUUCUGAAAAAUGUUGGAAUUAGUUCUAGCAGUACACUGCCAGUUACAAUUGCUGCAAAACAUUUUAACAAAGUCACAGCACUCUGACGCAAGGGCUGUAUUAUCUCUUGCCACCAGUCUGUUGAAAACUAUCAGGUAUAUGCUGGCUCAGGUCCUUUCUUAUUUUUACCUUUCUUAUAAUUUUACAUACUACUUUAUGUUUAGUUGAUGGUCCUUGUUGACCUGGUUGAAUAAUGAGGUUAAUAAAAGUAACUGUGUUAUCAGAGCAACUUUGACAAAAUUUAUAUGAUGAAGGUAUCUCUCAGCUGCUUCAUAAGAAGCUGUUGCAAAUGUGAACUGAUGCUGCUAACAAAAAGUUGAAUCCCUCUGGAUUUCAUUUUAAUUUGAGUGCUGAUCCCCAGCUUCUAAAUGCAGAACUGCUGUGUUUUUCCUGUGUGGUCUUAUAUUCUGCUCUCAUCUUUUUCUCUAUUGUGUGUGUUUUUUUUUCUUCCCAAUUAAUUAUAUCUACAGUAGACACCAGUGUGGAUAUAGCAGAGGUCAAUAAGUAAACCAGUGAGUUUCUGAUGCGAUGUAUUAUUCAUGUUGUGUACUCAGCUCAGUCUUGCAAGAGCAAUUGCUGAUACCACUGUCCUCCUGUGGAAAGGAAACAUAUGUAAGUGGUUCUAGGAAAGGGAUUUUUAUUUUGUAGGAAUAUGCUUUAUGUGUGGCAGAAUUGGAAUUUGCUCUGCAAAGAGGUAAUAAUCAGGCCCCACAUUAGCACAGCCUCGGGAUUUGCAGCAGACUCUAGCUGACUGCCUACUUAACUGGGUUUUCAGGGAUGUUCUAACCUAUGGUUAUAUAUAUUCUUCAGUUUUGAAGCUUUACAUUGUAAAAAUCAAUUAAAUUAUGUCCACGUCUGGAAAGUAUUUCUCCUCCAUGAUAUACUUGGAUCACUUUUCCUUCUCUAGCUUAGAUCAUCAUGCUUCAAAAGGUAGUUCGUGCUGAAAUGUUCCGUCUCAAAAUGAGUUUAGCUGACUGAAGGAAGCUCUUGUGAGAACAGGUGAGAAGUAUGAGAGCCUUUGCUUAAGCACUCUACAGUUCCAUUGCUGGAGCUGCAUCCAUUUUUCCUUUUUUUGAGGCACUUAUUAUAUGGUAUGUACAUUAAUUGAGUUUGUGGUAAAAGGUACUACCAUGGUACUGUGAAGUGCACAGGCUACCACUAAUAUCUCUGAUUAAUCAGAAUUUAGCUGGCAUAUCCAAGUCAGAUUGUCUCUUGCCAUAACUGGCAUCUCCUUCCUCCUGCACUGCUUUGAAGAACAAGAAAGGUUGUAGAGCGAAGAACAGAGAGGGAGCCCACGGAAUCAGUUGUCCGCUCUUAGGCUGUCGAGGGCUAGUGUUACCAGGUUUAAUUCAAGCUAUUUUGGAGGAAAAAUAGGGCAACUGAGGUGCUGAUGGCUAACACAGCUACUAGCUUCAGUUAUGUGCAGGUGUAAGGUUUGGUGCUUUGAAAUGGGCGGCUCAGUGCUGACAGGUUUGGCCUUUGGUCCUGGAGUUCCAUAACACAAAAGCUGAUCGUGGAAACAAAUAGUUUUCUUUCCAAAUCAUAUUCUAUUCAGACAUUCAGGAAGUCUUUUGAUUUGUCCUGGGUCAGGCUGUAUCAAAAGAAGUGUGGCUAGCAGGUUGAGGGAGGUGAUUCUAUCCUUCUGCUCUGCUCUUUUGAGAUCCCAUCUGGAGUACAGCUUUCAUCUUGGGGCCAUUUAGGACAAGAAAGACAUGGACCUGUUAGAGCAGGUCAGAGGGGGACCACAAAGAGGCUAGAGCACCUCGCCUGUGAGGAAAGACUGAGAGAACCAGGGUUGUUAAACUUGAGAAGAGAAAGCUCUGGGGAGGCCUUGUUGCAGUACAGAUGGAGAGGGACUGUUUAUCAGGGAGUUCAGUGAUAGGACAAGGAAGUCAGCUUUAAACUGUAAAGGAAGUAGGUUUAGGUUAGAUAUAAGGAAGAAAUUCUUUACUCGGAGGGCGGUGGGGCACUGUCAUGGGCUGCCUGGGGAAGCUGUGUGUGCUCCAUUCCUAGAGGUGUUCAAGGUCACGUUAGAUGGAGCCCUAGGAACCUGUCUAGUGAAAGGUGACCUUGCCCAUAGAAUGGGGCUGGAACUGAGUGAUCUUUAAGAUCCCUUUGAACCCCUAGCAUUCUGCGAUUAUGAUUCAAUGAAAACUAGUAAAUUUUCUUAGACUAAGUCUUUCAGCAGCAAUUUGAGUUCUGUGGUAAGUAGGAGGAAAACCCAAACUUUUUUCCACUGUCAACUUCUAUUGUUAUGAUUAGGAUAUAGAUGGUAACUGAGCUGGGAAAAUAACGUGAGAGGGAGGAUGGAGAGAUUUGGAAAGAGAUAUCAGUCUUUUAGUCACUGUCAGUUGCUGACUCCAUAUUCUUCUAUGUGGUUUUCUGGUUAGAAAGUCCAGGAAUUUGUGUUUAAUAGCUCUUGAUGUGAUAAGAGUGUACUCUUUUCAAGAUAAUAAAAAUUAAUUUCUUCUUUUUCCUUGGCUAAUUAUUCUGUCCUGUUCAAAGAUGACCUCAAGCACGUCUAUGUUUACAUGUGAUUUCUAAAUUUCUGUUCUUAUUUAUUUAUUUUUAAUCAGCAUUAGCCCUUGACCAUUCCUGUGUUAGUUCUGAUACCUCUGCCAACUUCCACACCAUGGCCAGUAGAUGGCCAGUAAAUGUUCACUACUAGACAGAGUGUGAGUCAAAGAGUAUGUGUUAAACACUAUCCUUUUCUAUGGGUUUUUCAAGUGUACAGAAAUAAUAAUCUGAUUUGGCCUAAGUUCACAUGAUGCUCACUAUGCCCUUUCUUUUUAAGUGGAAGGGAUUGUACGUGGAUAAAGCUGUAACGUGCUUUGUCUCUUCUGCUCUAUUAUGGAAUUAACUUUGUUACUGCCAAAAUUUGUUAUGGUAGUAGAUUGCAAAAUAAUGUCUAUUGACAUGGACUCUCUUUAAGUUUAUUACUGUUUCCCAAAUACGAAUGUCCAAUGUUUUCCACUGUUUUAUUGCUUUGAAACCUAGAGGCUCAAUAGUUCAAAAUGAUAAGGCAGCUGUGAGACUUGGUUUCUAAUUUAACUGGAGCAGACACAGUGUAGUAUACAAAUGUAUGCAGGGCAACAGAAUAUGAGACAUCCUAUAUUGACUUUGUUUUCAAGUUUUUUUUCUUUUGUAUAUCUUACCAUCACAUCCAUUCUGUGCUGUGUUUAAUGAAAGCUCAGAUUUAUUAAUAAAUCACGUAAGAUUUUGGAUGGGGCAGCUCAAGACUUCAGUGCAUAUAUUAUCUCUCUGCUGCAGAAUUAGUCCUUCCAACACAGAGCAUGGCUGUCUCUUCUGUUAGCCCACAGCUUGGCAGCAUUUAUUUUACCUGGGAGUAAACAAGACGGAGCAGAAAUGGAACUGAGCACAUCGAUCCAAUUAUAAAUGAUUGCUUGCUCACAUCAGGUAGCAGCAGGGGAAGACUUUUCUUCUUCACCUUCACUGUUCACACUAAUGCACUGCCAUCUGAUUCCAGAUUUAAGGGGCUGAACUGCAUUUCCGGAAAACUUUGUAUGGUUGUAAUUCCAGAACUUAACUAUAAACAGAUUUAUCUUUCAAAUCUUUCAUCUGCUUAGUUUUCCUAUUUCAAAUGGAUUUAUUAUUUGCCAUGCACUCCUUUUUCUGAUCCCUUUGUAGCCAGUUCCCUGUUUUCUGUCUCUACCUUAUCUGAGCUUCUGCUUUGCGUCCUCUGCCUCUUACAUUUAGUUCACACACAGGGACUGAUUUCACUAGAAUUCUUAAACUCCUUGUGACUGAGUCCAUCCAGGACUUGGGCCCCUGUAAUGUAGUAUGUGCCUUAAACAUGCGCUUCUUGGAAACUUGUCUUUUGUUAGCUUCCUUGACUCUCAUUUCUCUGAACAGAGUUUUGAUUUUUCUUACUCCUCUGAUAAUCAUGAAAUGAAAUCCCAAAGUAGCUAUGUUUAACUAAUGAAGUAUAAAUAUAACAAAAAUUGCAUGGUAGACUGAGCUCAGCCUGCAGCCAAACACCCACUCACUUUGCUUUCCCAUUGUGAGGGGAGAAAAGGAAGGCCAGAGGAAUCAAGGACUAACAUAAAGAUGGCUGCAGGUCUAGUGAAAGUGAGGACAAGUGAAAGAAAAGAAGGAAUUCAUUCUCUUCUUCCCACUGGCAGACUGGUGUUUGCCACUUUCUGAAAAGCAUGGCCUCAGCAUGCUUUAGAAGACAGAUGUCAUCAACACGAGUGUCACCCCUUCGUGCUCCUUUCCAUCAGCUUUUUUUUGCUGAGCGCCACGUCAUACGGAUAUGCAGUGUCCCAUGGAAUAUCCCCUUGGUCACUUUGGGACAAGUGUCUUGGCCAUUUGCUGGGGACGGCAGAGUGGGACAAGAAAGCCUGGACACUAUGCAAGCACAGUUCAGCAAUAGCCAAAGUGUUGAUAACCCAACUUUUUGUUAAUGGGUUAUCAACACUUUUUUAAUCACAAAUCAAAACACGGAACAGGAUGGGCUGCUGUGAAGAAAACUAACUUCAUCCCAUCCAGACCCAGUACAAGGUAAAAACCCCAGUCAGUGUUCAUACCCUGUAACUUAAACUACAAUAAAAUGGCUGCGUAUGUAACAACGUGUAGAAAAUACAUCAGUUCAAAGCUUUGCCUUUCUAUAUUUAUGAAUAAAAUAACAACAACAAAAAAAGCUAUUUUGAGCAGCUUUAAAAACAUUCCUGUGUCCUUAAUUAUAAAACGUCUGUGAAUGCAGGGACAUGAUCUGUGUUUUUACAAAUGAAAAUACAAAAGAAGUCUUUUUAAAUUAAUCUUGAGUUGUUAACAUUUUCUCAGGGAAGUUUUAACAGAAGCCUGUCUUACCAUAGGACUCUGCUGAGCCAUGUCUGGAGCCUUUCAAAGGCAUUUACAUGAUUUAGCCAACCAAUCUCCCAUGUAUCUUUUUGUCAAAGUAAAUCAUCUUCCUUUCUACAUCAACUUUAUUCAGUAGCUGUAGUACUGAGAAUUAUUUAAUUCUUCUGUUGAAUCUCUUUGAUGUAUAUUGGAGGUUUUGUGAGAGUGUCUGAUUAUUGCCUGCUGAUUCCAUAAUUGUAGGAUUACGUUUGAACUGCAGUUAUAACAUUAAUAUUACAAGUUUCUUCUUCAAAAGUGGCUGACACUUGAAAUUGGAAAUGAACCUAAAAUCUCAGUAACUCUUUGCUUUUUUUUCAAUUUGAAUACUAACAUGAUUAUUUACUUCUCAAGCCAUUAAUUUCCAUUGAUUUUUGAUUAAUUUCCAUUAUUUUUUUUAUGAAGGCUGCAGAAUCCUUUCUUGCUGUGAUUCUGUAUUUGUUACGCUUUAGAAGAUUUAGGAGGCAAAAAGAUUCUGAGCAAGACUUAAGACUCGUUGUGUAUAUGGCUGGGCACUUCAGUGUACAGAGAUGAGUUUCCCAUUGUACCUCUGUUCAUUAUAACUCUGCCAAAGAGCCAAACCUCUGCAUUGCUGCAGUCAGAAUGGAAUCCUGUUGUUCCUCUAGAAGUCAGGACUUCACCUGAAUUUUCUAAAAAAAGCUUUGCCAAGAGCACGUGUGUAGAACUAACUCUGAGAUAAUCUGUACAUGAAACAACCACAGUGAAAGAGGUACUCGUGCCGCAGUUCAGCCACUUCUUGCACAGGAAAGCAAGAAAAUAUUUCUCACGUACAGAUGGAUUUUUUUCUCAUGCUCAGAUUUUGUGCUGAAGUUUGGCCUCAGAGCCUUGCAGAUAUCUCCACUUGUUGUUCUCUUCCCAGUCUUAGUAGAACUGAUCCUGGCUGUAAAAAUAACUUUGUAGGAUUUUGCUUAUUUUCAAGAAAAGAAAUCUGUAGUGUAGAGGAUUAUCAGUACAUGUAAAAGCUAGUCUUAAUUUAAAACUGCUCUAGUUUAAUUGUGAAAGGUACCUGUAUGAAAAUCAGCACCUAAGAGAGGGAAGGGCCAUCAUCUAGCCCUGUUUUUCCUGUAGGAUCACGUUGGUGAUCAAAAAUACACUUUCUCUCUCCUGUUGUUUGCCAGAUAUCUUCCUGAAGCCUUCCAUUAGUCUUUCAAAGCAGAGCUGGUACCACAGAAUGAGAGCUAUUGUCAUGUCUUAGGGACUUUCAAAAAUGCUUCUGGCAAUUACACGAUGUUUUAGUUGUUUCUCUUUUUUUCAGAUACUUUUUAAAAUUCCUAAAUCAUAGUGCUGUAUGACAGGCUUUUGCUUUUCUCAUUGUAUCUUUAUUUGCUAACAAAAAUCCAGACGUCCUGAUAAAAACCAAACUCAUUUCAUAACGUGAUACAUCUGUGCCCUGCUCGUACAUAUAAAGCCUCAGGGUUACAUUUUCAAAGUGGCGAAUAGUAGAUAUCCUCACAAAUCCUUUUGUCUGCUAAUGGGAUUUGUUCUUGCUGCUCCCUGACACCUUUUUAAAUGAUCGUAUUACUGAUUUAUUUUAUUAUAGUGUUCUGGAAGACACUUAGUAAAGUGUGUUCUGACCUUGCAUUUGGCAAUGUGGACAGGUCAGUGGGACCAGAACUAGCUAAAGGCUGUGUCUGCGCUGUAUUGCUGCAGAUAGUGGUCAUAAAUUGCUUGUUUUGCUGACAUUUUAACGUAAAUGAAGGAAGGCGUCAGCACUGCUGGCUUUCUGGAAGGAAGCCUGAGAGCAUCUUGGUAUGCCUUGCGUGUCUAGCUAAUGCCACUUGGAUGGAAAGUUUUAAUUAAGUGCAUGUCUGUGCAUGCAAAGAAGAAAUCAAAGGCACUAGGGAAAAAGAAAGUGUAUCUGCUCAAGACUCAUUGAGGAGUAAUUUGGUGAGAGCACUAAAUGACUUUCAAUUAAUUGGAAAAUAUUUUCUUAAAUAUUGCCAGAAAGUACAAGAAAAUCAACCUGAAGAGAAGGCUACAAAAGUAGUCUGUGUUUAAAAUCCAUUUGCUCCUUUCUUGUUGGAAGAUGUCAUGGUAAUACAAGUCAGGAGUAGAGGUUGUGAAACUAAUCUGAUAUGCUGGAUUUCAUUAAGAUCCAUAAUUGCAAUUAUCAGAGGAACACUGGAAGCUGGUUUAUGUAAGGUCAUUAUUUUUCAUUUGUCAUUUCUGUAACAAUUUCCAAGCUUAAAAUAUCCAAAAAAUCAUUGUUAAUAGAGAUACAAUUUUUAUAGCAAAUAUAAUUAACAAUAUUAAAGUUCCAGCUGUUGAAUUUGAACUGAUUAUGUGGGAAUUUUGGCUCUGUUUUCUGGUCCUCAUGCCUAGAGGGCAGAAAAUUCACUCAGUUCCCUUCUGACUGUCUAGAGGGACAGCUUCUUCUGAAAGGAGCAGUGCUGAAGAGCAAGGAUUAUGCAUUCACUGAUAGAUGAUGCUGCAUGAUUAAUUUUGGAUAAUGCUUGGUAUGUGGCUCCUUGUUCUGCCUGCAUUAUAGCAAAACAAACCAGCCAACCCUGUACUCGCUGAGAUGGCCAGACAUGUAGAGGGCUUGUUAUGUCAUACUGUAUUGCCUUAUUCACAAUUUUAUUUUAAUGAACUCAUAAUACAGCAUGAAUUCCACCCUUUUAUGUAGAAAAUAUGCUUUAUUAUUCACUUUGGUUUUCUUGCAGAGGAAGCAGAGAAAACUGCAGCAAACUCCGUGAGGGGUCAGGAAUGACUGUGCAUCUGUAGCUCUUCUCCUUAUUUGAUACCCAUCAUUAAUGUAACUCAAAGAUGCUCUCUGCAGUAAAUAAUAACAAGGAAAGAACAGCACCCAUGACUUAAGCCUUAUCAAAGUGUGUGAUGGUGAUUGGGUAGCUCCUUCUAUUCAUCUUUCUUUAAAUACAUGUCCUCUUGUGAAAUGCUUUGUUGGAUAGAACCUUUCCCACCCCCAAAGCCACAUUUUGUUUGUUUGUGUCUUAACAAUGAUAAAGAGACAGAAUUAUGGGUAUGAUUACCUAAUAUCUUACUCUGUUCUUGCUGAUGUUUAUGACAAAGUGAAUCAGAAAAUGGGAAUAGAUAAGGCUGUAUUCUUAGCUUGAAUUAUCAGGUGCCAUUUCAAAUGUCUACAGCAGAUGGGGAGUCUCAGGAGAAGGGGAGAAAUAAAUGCAACAGGUGCAUCACAAGAGCAAAAGAGCUAUUUGUGAGAAUAGUUCCAAGAAUUGAAGAUUCCAUCAAAAGGUUAUUUACCUUUGGGUGGAGAAUUACAUUUUACCUAACUUUUUCUUAUCUCAGAGAUGAGAAGUGGUUUGGCAUUUAUUAUCAGGAACUGGUUAGAAUGGUCUUCUCUCACUGGGUAUUACAGAGCAAUGCCUCUACUGGUCAGGACGAAGAAAGGCAGAGGAAGGAAUCAAUAUGGACAGUGUGUAGGAAGGGACGUGAGGGAAAGGUUGAGAACCCCAAAACUAAACUAUCUCACAGUAUUCCAAUAAAAUUAAUGAAAGCUGUAGUCGUAAGAUCUCUGCUGUUGUCUUAAAAUCUUUCUUUGGUGGUGGAGCAGUGGUUCAGUGUUGAGGAACAAGAAAUGUUUCCAUUCUACUUCCCACUGCAUUCACCAUGUUUGCCUGCAGUUCCUUGGGCAUCACAUAGGCAGGCUAUAGAGUCUGUUGCACCAGGCUGUGAUUGCUAAAAACUUCAGGAAACAUAAGAAAAAAACCAAAUUCCUGGGGUCUGCCCUACUCUUAGUCUGUAUUGAUUUCUCCCUUGGGCAAUGUCCCAGAAGAUGCCGGGCCAGGCUGACCCUUGAUCUGAUCCAAUAUGGAUGAUCCUGUGUGUUAAGAGGAUACUGGACUGCAGAUAAGGGGUAAGCCUGAUUAUGGAGGGGAGGCUCUGUAUGAGAUGAGGAUAAAGCAGUGCAGCGUCCCCGGCACGAUCUGCCCAGGCUGCUGGUGGUGCAGAGAUGCUAACAGCAGGACAGGCUGGUGCCCUGUGCUGACUGCUUCUUCCUGAAAACUCAGCACAGCAUUCCUUUUAAGGAUGUCCAGUUGUUGGGAACUCAGUAUUCUCCGAAGAGCUAAAGGAAUUCAUGUUUGUGACAUUUGAUGAUUGGGCAUCUGGGAGGCUUUGAUGUGUGUUAGAACAUGUAUUUAGCUUCACUCGUUCAGCCAACAGUCCUACUGCAAUAAGGGUUCACAUCUUAUUAAAGGUGUGUGAAGGGUUUGACAAAACCUCUGAAGGCCACAAUAGUUCUUUCUCCAGGAGAAGCCAAAAAGGAAGAAUUUGAAGUUUGAUACUUCUGAACUUAGGAAUGGAGAUGAAGCAAAGUAAAUUAAGAAAAAAUAACAAAACAAAAGCUCCAAACUCCAAAGGCUGUUCCUUCAUCAGCUGUGGGUCCUUCUUGUCUUUUACAGAUGUUGGUUUCUAUAUAAAUAAACAGUUUGCUCUUUAAAAAUAAUUGGUGAUGACUCAAUAGCUCACAUUUAUUAUUGUGUAUUUUAAAUCUGCAGACUUCAGCAAGUCCAAUUCUGUGCUAUUUGGGAAAAAAUAAAGGCUUUAAUCAUAUUCGGGCCUGUUUUCCCUUUCAUCUGGUGGUUAGUUUGCUUUUACAGAUGAAUGCAACUUUCUGAGCUGUGUGUUCUGGUUUUGAACCUGCUCGCUGACUUACCUAACUUUCCUUACACAGGGAUUGUGAUUUUCAUUUUACCUUAACUGGCACUUGGCAGAUAAAGUGGCAGAUUUAUAGACAAUUCUACUUAGUUUAUUAUAUACCAAUUAGCAUUUAUAGUACUCUGUCCUUAAAAUUAAGUGCUUCGCUUCUAUAUAAAAUGGGAAAUAAGUGAGGUCACACAGCAAUGCAGAGGUAUUUUUUUGUUGUUGUUACACAGUAAUUUCCCCAGGCAGAUACUGAGUUAAAGGCCUUGACGCUGCUGUUGCUUGGGCAGUUGUGCUUUGCCUGUUGCUUGUUGCCACAAGGCUGUGGUACGGCUUUGCUCCUCAUUUUAGUUAAUGAGGAAGAAAGGUGGCGGAGCAUGUGUCUGUGUGUGCGUAGACUGCAUGGCAUGAGACUCGUGGGCCCUCCACUCUGGGGAGGAGCUGAAGUAUUGGAUACUGUGGUAUCCAGGCAGUAUUUCCUAUCCAAGGAGAAUGUGACUUUUACAAGUGGAGCAAAAUUUGGCUUCAGGACAGAAGUAUCUACGAAUAAAUACUAUUUAUAGGGUUUUUUUUGUUUUGUUUUUUUUUUCAGUCAUUCACAGGUGUUAUGCAAAGCAGUAACAACACAAAGGAUAACUUGUUGCCCCGUACUGUGAUAGUGUCUGUCCAUAGAAGAUGUGUAUGGGUGCAUGCAAAAAACAUUUUUUUACCCGCGCUAUCCUAAACAUAUCUAUGUCAACGGAAACAACUGUGUGUUAUUUUUCACUUUCCUGGCGUCCUUGUUUCCUUACACCAGAGCUGCUUUUUGAGCCCUCCUCCUCUGCAGUGUGGCUUAUUCAGGAUCCCUGCUCUGAGUACAGAGCUGCUGCAAGCAUCACCUUUAAUAUGGGCGGUGUUGCAUUGCCUGAAUCGAUUCCUGGUUCAUAAUGCUGACAUUUAACUGACUUCAGAGGUAACCGCCAACGUCUUUUGCAGAGUUAGUCCAGCUUUCAUGUUUUAAUAACUGUGAACAGCAUAGAGCCCCAGGUAGGUUCCUUUCAAGGUAAAUUCAUUAGGGCAAAAAAGAUCAUUAGCUGCCAGUGAUGGAUUGUUUCUCAGUAAGAUAAACACAAAUUGAAACAUGCUUUGAAGGCCACUGUAGGCUUGUUGUGAUGACAAGGGGAACACGUAUCCUGCUUAUCCAUUAUAUAUGUUUUAAAAAGGGUCUUUGAAGACCAAAAAGUGCUGGAAAUACACUGUCCUGUCCACUAAUGAGCAGUGCAGUUAAUGAGAUAUCUCAGAACUCCCUCCCUGUCCACCUACUUGCAGCAUACUUAUCUGAACUUCAUCUGAUUCUUUUCCAAGUGACAUGUGGGUUUAGCCUCAGGAUAGAGAUACUGGAAGCAGUUCCCAUCCACUUUGGUUGUUCAGGCACUCGUGCUGAGUGACAAGCACUAAUGAAAUUUGGGUCCCUAUUAUGCUUUAUGAUGAGCACAUCAUGAGAUGAUCUCUGCCGUGGUAUUUUCUACUUCAGUCUGUAGGAUGAGAGAAGCUUGAUGAUAUCCUUUAAUUUGUUGGAGAAAUUUUGUAUGAAGGAAAAAAUGCUGUGUGGCACUAUCCUCUCAUGUACGAAAGAAUGCUAGAAGCUUGGCUUGUCCAUAAAAUCUGCUUUCCUGAAAUCCCUUUGGGGGACUUGACAGGAUUUGGGGAUUGCUGCCUUGAGAUCCUCUGGUAAGGGUUGUGCUCACAGGUGCAGUUCUG
rnacentral:lncRNA from 1 species